UGCGUAGGUGGCGUGGUAAGUCGGGUGUGAAAUUUCGGAGCUUAACUCCGAAACUGCAUUCGAUACUGCCGUGCUUGAGGACUGGAGAGGAGACUGGAAUUUACGGUGUAGCAGUGAAAUGCGUAGAGAUCGUAAGGAAGACCAGUGGCGAAGGCGGGUCUCUGGACAGUUCCUGACACUGAGGCACGAAGGCUAGGGGAGCAAACGG
rnacentral:rRNA from 1 species